rnacentral:rRNA from 1 species
CAGUAGCCGCGGUAAUACGUAGGUGGCAAGCGUUGUCCGGAAUUAUUGGGCGUAAAGCGCGCGCAGGUGGUUUAAUAAGUCUGAUGUGAAAGCCCACGGCUCAACCGUGGAGGGUCAUUGGAAACUGUUAAACCUGAGUGCAGGAGAGAAAAGUGGAAUUCCUAGUGUAGCGGUGAAAUGCGUAGAGAUGUGGAGGAACACCAGUGGCGAAGGCGACUCUCUGGUCUGUAACUGACGCUGAGGAGCGAAAGCGUGGGGAGCGAACAGGAUUAGAUACCCGAGUAGUCCCUGUCUCUUAUAC